rnacentral:rRNA from 1 species
AGCGAACGCUGGCGGCAGGCUUAACACAUGCAAGUCGAACGGGCGUAGCAAUACGUCAGUGGCAGACGGGUGAGUAACGCGUGGGAACGUACCUUUUGGUUCGGAACAACACAGGGAAACUUGUGCUAAUACCGGAUAAGCCCUUACGGGGAAAGAUUUAUCGCCAAAAGAUCGGCCCGCGUCUGAUUAGCUAGUUGGUGAGGUAAUGGCUCACCAAGGCGACGAUCAGUAGCUGGUCUGAGAGGAUGAUCAGCCACAUUGGGACUGAGACACGGCCCAAACUCCUACGGGAGGCAGCAGUGGGGAAUAUUGGACAAUGGGCGCAAGCCUGAUCCAGCCAUGCCGCGUGAGUGAUGAAGGCCCUAGGGUUGUAAAGCUCUUUUGUGCGGGAAGAUAAUGACGGUACCGCAAGAAUAAGCCCCGGCUAACUUCGUGC